rnacentral:rRNA from 1 species
GGCUCCUUGUUCUCUUAUAUAGGGAGUCGGACCUGCUCGGUGAAUAUUUUAACAGCCGCGGUACUCUGACCGUGCAAAGGUAGCAUAAUCAUUUGCCUUAUAAUUGAAGGCUAGUAUGAAUGGUUUGACGAGAAUUAAGCUGUCUCUUUUCAACUAAAUAUAACUUUAUUAAGAGGUGAAGAAGCCUCUAUUUCAUUGAAAGACAAGAAGACCCUAUCGAGCUUUAAAAAAUUUAGUAGAUUUACCAUAUAUUAAUAAAAAAGUAAAGCAACUAAAGACUUUGGUUGGGGCGACUGAGGAACAAAUAAAGCUUCCUUUAUCUUAAUUAAAACCUACAAGUGUUGAUCCAAUUUAUUUGAUUAAAGAAAUUAGUUACCGUAGGGAUAACAGCAUAAUCUCCUUUGAGAGUUCUCAUCGAAAAGGGGGUUUGUGACCUCGAUGUUGGACCAGAAUAUCCAGAAGAUGCAGCCGUCUUCAAUGGUUGGUCUGUUCGACCAUUAAAAUUCUACGUGAUCUGAGUUCAGACCGGCGUGAGCCAGGUCAGUUUCUAUCUUCAAUUUUUAUAGUCGCCUUAGUACGAAAGGACCAGGCUAUUGCAAGUCAAUUUGUAGUAUUUUGAUUAAAUAUAAAUAAUAAUUAAAUAUUUAAGCAUCAAAUUAGCAAAGAUUAAUGCAAUUGAUUUAGGAUCAAUAGACAUAGGUGAAACCCCUUUAUUUGAUAUAUAAAGAUGGCAGAAAA